rnacentral:rRNA from 1 species
CUAUGCGCCUUGCCAGCCCGCUCAGUCAGAGUUUGAUCCUGGCUCAGGACGAACGCUGGCGGCGUGCUUAACACAUGCAAGUCGAACGGAAAGGCCCUGCUUGCAGGGUACUCGAGUGGCGAACGGGUGAGUAACACGUGGGUGAUCUGCCCUGCACUUCGGGAUAAGCCUGGGAAACUGGGUCUAAUACCGGAUAGGAGCCAUUUUUAGUGUGAUGGUUGGAAAGUUUUUCGGUGUAGGAUGAGCUCGCGGCCUAUCAGCUUGUUGGUGGGUAAUGCCUACCAAGGCGGCGACGGGUAGCCGGCCUGAGAGGGUGGACGGCCACAUUGGGACUGAGAUACGGCCCAG